GAUAAACGCUGGCGGCGUGCAUAACGCAUGCUAGUCAAACGAUGAACCUUAUUAUAUUUCUUCGGAAUGAAAAUAAGUGGAUUAGUGGCGAACGGGUGAGUAACACGUGAGUAACCUGCCUUACACAAGGGGAUAGCCUUUGGAAACGAAGAAUAAUACCCUAUAAAGUUAGUCAAUCGCAUGGUAGACUAACCAAAGAUUUAUCGGUGUAAGAUGGACUUGCGUCUGAUUAGCUAGUUGGUGAGAUAAAAGCCCACCGAGGCGACGAUCAGAAGCCGGCUUGAGAGAGUGUACGGCCACAUUGGGACUGAAACACGGCCCACACUCCUACGGGAGGCAGCGGUGGGGAAUUUUGCACAAUGGGGGAAACCCUGAUGCAACGACGCCGCGUGAUUUACAAGGCCUUCGGGUGGUAAAAAUCUUUUUUAUGGGAUGAAAAUGACCGUACCAUAAGAAUAAGGUCCGGCUAAAUACCUGCCAGCAGCCGCGGUAAUACGUAUGGACCGAGCGUUGUCCCGAAUCAUUGGGCGUACAGGGUACAUAAGCGGCCUACUAAGUUAGAAGUGAAAUAAUAUAGCUCAACUAUAUAAAGCUUUAAAACUGUUAGGCUUGAGAGAUGAAAGGGAAAGUGGAAUUCCUAGUGUAGCGGUGAAAUGCUCAGAUAUUAUGAAGAAUACCGGUGGCGAAGGCGACUUUCUGGUCAUCAUCUGACGCUGAGGUACGAAAGCGUGGGUAGCAAACAGGAUUAGAUACCCUGGUAGUCCACGCUGUAAACGAUGAGUGUUAGGUUCUUGGAAUAAUCUGGGAGCCGCAGCUAACGCAUUAAACACUCCGCCUGGGGAGUACGCACGCAAGUGUGAAACUCAAAGGAAUUGACGGGGACCCGCACAAGCAGCGGAGCAUGUGGUUUAAUUCGAUGCAACGCGAAGAACCUUACCAAGUCUUGACAUAAUACGGAGGGAGUUAGAGAUAAUUGCUUAUCACUUCGGUGAACUGUAUUACAGGUGGUGCAUGGUUGUCGUCAGCUCGUGUCGUGAGAUGUUGGGUUAAGUCCCAUAACGAGCGCAACCCCUAUCGUUAGUUACCAUCAUUAAGUUGGGGACUCUAGCGAUACUGCCGGUGAUAAACCGGAGGAAGGUGGGGACGACGUCAAAUCAUCAUGCCCUUUAUGACUUGGGCUACACACGUGCUACAAUGGCAGAUACAGAGGGCAGCGAAAGAGCGAUCUGAAGCGAAACUCACAAAGUCUGUCCCAGUUCGGAUUGUACUCUGCAACUCGAGUACAUGAAGUUGGAGUUGCUAGUAAUCGCGAAUCAGAAUGUCGCGGUGAAUGCGUUCCCGGGUCU
rnacentral:rRNA from 1 species